rnacentral:tRNA from 1 species
CGGGGAGUGGCGCAGCCUGGUAGCGCGCAGCGUUCGGGACGCUGAGGUCGGAGGUUCAAGUCCUCUCUCCCCGA